rnacentral:rRNA from 1 species
UACGGAGGAUCCAAGCGUUGUCCGGAUUUACUGGGUUUAAAGGGUGCGUAGGUGGACUUUUAAGUCAGUGGUGAAAGCCUGUAGCUUAACUAUAGAAUUGCCAUUGAAACUGAAAGUCUUGAGUACAGUUGAGGUGAGCGGAAUGUAUCAUGUAGCGGUGAAAUGCUUAGAUAUGAUACAGAACACCGAUUGCGAAGGCAGCUCACUAAAACUGCAACUGACAC